GUAUUUCAUUGCGUUAAACGCGACAUACAUUCCAUAAGACUUUGUUGUAGUGUGUGUGUAAAGACGUAGAACCACAGCGGGAGGACAGAGCCCACCCAGGCCAUAGAACUACAGAGGGUGCACAGGUGUGAGUGGAUGUGUGAACAGAGCGUGCACAUGCCCCCGUAUGGGGACCAGCAACAACUCUUGUUGACAAUUCGGUAAUGAUCCUUCCGCAGGUUCACCUACGGAAA
rnacentral:misc_RNA from 1 species